CAGGCACAGCCUGCUCGCCAGUGGCGUGGCUUGCCUGGAAAUGAUGCAAGGCCGCAGAGGAUGCAUAUGCAGCCCCAUCAUGGCAGUGCACCACUACUGAGUUUGCUGAUGGUUCACAGCGAAACUGCAGCUUCUGUGGCUACACCUGUAUCAGCAAAUAAAGGAUGAUGAGGG
rnacentral:lncRNA from 12 species